rnacentral:rRNA from 1 species
CCUGGUGCUUUUAGCGGCGGGGAAACACCUGUCCCCAUCCCGAACACAGCAGUUAAGCCCGUCAGCGCCGAUGGUAGUGCGGUUUUUCCGCGCGAGAGUAGGACGGUGCCAGGA